rnacentral:lncRNA from 1 species
GGAACUCCUCUUUAUGAAACCAUCAGAUCUCAUGAGGCUUAUUUACUUUCAUGAGAACAGCACAGGAAAAACUUGCCCCAUGAUUCAAUUACCUCCCACCUGGUCUCUCCCACAUGUGGGGAUCAUUAUAAUUCAAGAUUCACUAUGGCUUUUUACAAUGAAGACUUUUUUCAUUUUUGCAUUUCCAUCAUUUUGCAUGGUGUCUGUCAUUGUUCUUGCACUUUGCGGCCACUAUGGAGUACAAUAAGGGUUACCUGAACACGAGUACUGCAAAACAAUGACAGUCAAACUAAUAACUGAGAAGGCUACUAAGUGAAUACUAGGUGAAGAGCAUAGACAGUAUGGAUACACUGGACAAAGAGAAGAGUCACAUCCCUGGCAGGACAGAGCAGGAGGACAGCAUGAGAUUUUCAUCACGUACACAGAAUGGUGGGCAAUUUAAAACUUAUGAAUUAUUUCUGAAAUUUUCCAUUUACUGUGCUUGGACUAUGGUUGACUAUGGGUAACUGAUACUGUGGAAAGUAAAACCCUGCAGAGUGAAAACGUGGAUAAGGAAAGACAACUUUAAUACUUUUUAGUAUAUUAAAAGUAAAGAUUUUGUUAACAGUUUUCUAAAUCUUACAUCUGAAAAUGUCAAAUAACAAAAUACAAAUUUGUUAAUAAUCAGAAAAUGUGCCUUUAAAGCUAGUACGAAAGAGAAAAUGUGUUAAAGCUUACAUAAUUCAAGACGAUAAGAGAAAAACUAUAAUUCUGUGUUUUUAAAACUCAAACCAUGCAACUGAUAAACUCCUCAUAUUACUUCCAUUAUGUACAUUUAAUUGUAAAUUAUAUGGAUAAUACCACAUAUGUAGGAUUAUUAGAAGGGAAGACAAUGUGCCCCAGUAUCAAACUGUAGAAAUUAAUUUUAUUCUCCAACCCAAAAUCACUCAAUAAUUUUAAUACAAAUGCCCUAUGACUUUCAUAUUAUAGUCCACAAUAUGGAAAUUCAUAUGCUCUAAUAGUAAAUAAUACUUUAGUAAAUGUCCAUAAAUCACUCUAUUUUCUUCUUUGUAAUUUGUAUUUUUUAUUUAUUUAAUUUCUUUAGAGAUAGCGUAUUGCUCUGUAACCCAGGCUGGAGUGCAGUGGCAUGAUCCCACCUCACUGCAGCCUCAACCUCUGGGGCUCAAGCAAUCCUCCCACCUCAGCCUCCCCAGCAGCCGGGACCACAGAUGCACACCACCACAUGCAGUUAAUUUUUUAAUUUUUUGUAGAAUGAGGUCUCACCAUGUUACCCAGGCUAGUCUCAAACUCCCGGGCACUAGUGGUUCUCCUGCCUCGGCCUCCCAAGUGCUAGGAUUAUAGGUGUAAUUUUUAAAUAAGUGCCAUGUACAAUUUCACAGAGUGCCCUAGUUUUGUAACAGGCAGUUAGGCAUGAGUGGGGCAGGAGAGGGCUCUCCCCCAACCCACUAGAAAUGUCAGGUGAUGAUUCCAGAAUUAUUUCUUUGCCUCUCUUAAAAAUGAUAAUUCACCUACCAGGGAGAAAUCUCCUGAUGGUCCACACCUGUUAACAUUAAAAGUGUUAACUGAAGGCAGAUCUCAGGGAGAAACAGUUUCUGGGCAUGCUUGUUAAGAGACGAAAAUGGUGAAGUAUGAUAUUCCAGGUACACUCCACUGGAAAAAGGAAGAAAGCCUCAGAUGGGCAUAUGUAUAACUCCGUGAACACACUGUGUUUGCUCACUUUCCAAGGGUAAGGAGGGCUCUGCGCACGCGGGAAGCUCACUCUAAGCAAAGAAUUAUGGGAAAGAGGCAAGCUUAUUAAGUCCUAGGAUCAAGGUUAAAGGCUCUUUUUUUUUUUCUGUUAUCUUUUGUCCUUUUUUUCUCUCUUGGACCUUCAGGCGUCUGCUUGGGUCUCUUUCAAGCGAAUUUUCCUUUCCCUCCUGUUCUAAAGCCUUUUUAAAUAAACUUCCACUCCUGCUCUAGAACUUGCCUCUCUUUUUCUGCUUUAUGCCCUCAGUCAAGUUCUUUCUUCUGAGGAGGCAAGGACUGAAGUUGGGAGGGACACAUACGGAUACACUGUUGGUAACUUGGGAUAACUCAGAUCUCUGGUAACAGUUUCAAGGCAUUGGUAGAAUACUUUACAUUCAGAAAUCCAAAUAAUUUUUGUUUUAAGUCAUCAAAUUUGUGGCCCAGCAUAAUAAAAGAUACGGUUGUUUCCUCCCUUUCAGUUUGAGAAUUCCUACAGGAAACAUUUGUGUUAAAGAAAUAUGAUUAUCAAUGUUAAUGAUUACAUAAUUAUUAGUUAUUGUUUUUUCAUUGUGGAAAAUGAAUUUCAACUCAGAUUUACCAACAAAUAUUUACUUAUUCUAUUCUAAUGGCAUUUAGUUUAGUUUGUUUGUUUUUGGGGGUAGUGGUAACAUGAAAAAACUAAAGGGCUUCUGUGAUAGGAUUUUAAAAUAUUCACAUAUAUUUCUACUUCAAGCAAUAAUUACUUUCUCUGUUCACAUCAAAUACAGACUGGGUGAAACACAGUAAAGAGGACUUAUUUCCUGUUAAUAGAUAUUACUUGACAUUUAGCUUUAAUGCUGGAAAAUAAAAGCAGUUUAUAAUGUCCAGAAGAGCUUUUUCUUUUUUGCUUACAGAGCACUUAAGUGUCAUCUUA